AUUGAACGCUGGCGGCAGGCCUAACACAUGCAAGUCGAGCGGAUGAAGGGAGCUUGCUCUCUGAUUUAGCGGCGGACGGGUGAGUAAUGCCUAGGAAUCUGCCUGGUAGUGGGGGAUAACGUUCCGAAAGGAACGCUAAUACCGCAUACGUCCUACGGGAGAAAGCAGGGGACCUUCGGGCCUUGCGCUAUCAGAUGAGCCUAGGUCGGAUUAGCUAGUUGGUGAGGUAAUGGCUCACCAAGGCGACGAUCCGUAACUGGUCUGAGAGGAUGAUCAGUCACACUGGAACUGAGACACGGUCCAGACUCCUACGGGAGGCAGCAGUGGGGAAUAUUGGACAAUGGGCGAAAGCCUGAUCCAGCCAUGCCGCGUGUGUGAAGAAGGUCUUCGGAUUGUAAAGCACUUUAAGUCGGGAGGAAGGGCAGUAAGUUAAUACCUUGCUGUUUUGACGUUACCGACAGAAUAAGCACCGGCUAACUUCGUGCCAGCAGCCGCAGUAAAAC
rnacentral:rRNA from 1 species